rnacentral:rRNA from 1 species
CAGGAAGUGAGGAUGUCGGAAUAAGUAGCGAUAAAAGAGGUGAAAAUCCUCUUCGCCGAAAACCUAAGGUUUCCUUGAGUAAAGUUCGUCUGCUCAGGGUCAGUCGAUCCUAAGCCGAGGUCGAAAGACGUAGGCGAUGGGUAUCCGGUUAAUAUUCCGGAACUAUCUUUGGUGCGUAUAAUGUGUCUGGCGACGCUUUUCAGUAGGUCAGCAUCCGAUUGGAAGAGGAUGUUUCUCGAUAGAGGAGGACUUGGGGCAACCUGAGGAACUGACUGUAUGGGGAGCCAAGAAAAACCCAGACACCUGUGCUAGAGGUAAACGUACCGCAAACGGACACACGUAGGUGGGGUGAAAAUCCUAAGGCGCGCGAGAUAACUUUCGUUUAGGAACUCGGCAUAUUUGCCCCGUAACUUCGGGAUAAGGGGUGCCUAUGGCAACAUAGGUCGCAGUGAAAUGGCCCUCGUGACUGUUUAACAAAAACACAGGACUCUGCUGAAAUCACAAGAUGAUGUAUAGGGUCUGACGCCUGCCCGGUGCCGGAAGGUCAAGGAGAGGAGUUAGCGCAAGCGAAGUUCUGAACUUAAGCCCCGGUAAACGGCGGCCGUAACUAUAACGGUCCUAAGGUAGCGAAAUUCCUUGUCGGGUAAGUUCCGACCCGCACGAAAGGUGUAACGAUCUGGGAGCUGUCUCAACGCGAGACUCGGUGAAAUUUAUGUACCGGUAAAGAAGCCGGUUACCCGUGGUUAGACGGAAAGACCCCGUGAACCUUCACUGUAACUUAUCAUGGGGACUUGGUUAGACAUGUGUAGGAUAGGUGGGAGACUGCGAAGCAUGGGCGUUAGCUUGUGCGGAGUCUUCGGUGAAAUACCACCCUUGUCUGAUUAGGUUUCUAACCCGCUCCGUGAAGCCGGAGCGGGGACAAUGAUAGGCAGGCAGUUUGACUGGGGCGGUCGCCUCCUAAAGAGUAACGGAGGUGCGCGAAGGUCUCCUCGCUCUGGUUGGAAAUCAGGGUAUGAGUGUAAAGGCAUAAGGAGGCUUGACUGCGAGACGGACAAGUCGAGCAGAUACGAAAGUAGGUCUUAGUGAUCUGGCGGUAGCGAGUGGAAGUGCCGUCACUUAACGGAUAAAAGGUACUCCGGGGAUAACAGGCUGAUCUUCCCCAAGAGUUCAUAUCGACGGGAAGGUUUGGCACCUCGAUGUCGGCUCAUCGCAUCCUGGGGGUGCAGCAGCUCCCAAGGGUUUGGCUGUUCGCCAAUUAAAGCGGUACGUGAGCUGGGUUCAGAACGUCGCGAGACAGUUCGGUCCCUAUCUGCCAUGGACGCGGGAUGGUUGAGAGGACCUGUUUUUAGUACGAGAGGACCGAAAUGGACGAACCUCUGGCGUAUCUGUUGUCCUGCCAAGGGCACCGCAGAGUAGCUACGUUCGGAAGGGAUAACCGCUGAAAGCAUCUAAGCGGGAAGCCCGCCUCAAGAUAAGCCAUCCCAGAGGGCUUGACCCUCCUGAAGGCGCCAGGAAGACUACCUGGUCGAUAGGUUGGCGGUCCAAGCGCGGUAACGCGCUCAGCCGACCAAUACUAAUCCGCCGUGAGGCUUGACCAU